CAGCCGCCGCGGGAAUACAGAGGGUGCGAGCGUUAAUCGGAUUUACUGGGCGUAAAGCGUGCGUAGGCGGCUUCUUAAGUCGGAUGUGAAAUCCCUGAGCUUAACUUAGGAAUUGCAUUCGAUACUGGGAAGCUAGAGUAUGGGAGAGGAUGGUAGAAUUCCAGGUGUAGCGGUGAAAUGCGUAGAGAUCUGGAGGAAUACCGAUGGCGAAGGCAGCCAUCUGGCCUAAUACUGACGCUGAGGUACGAAAGCAUGGGGAGCAAACAGGAUUAGAUACCCGCGUAGUCCCUGCCUCUUAUAC
rnacentral:rRNA from 1 species